AAGAGUUAACGUUGACUCAGCUGCAGUCAGCCCUGUACAGAGUAAGGUAGUUAAGAGUUAACGUUGACUCAGCUGCAGUCAGCCCUGUACAGAGUAAGGUAGUUAAGAGUUAACGUUGACUCAGCUGCAGUCAGCCCUGUACAGAGUAAGGUAGUUAAGAGUUAACGUUGACUCAGCUGCAGUCAGCCCUGUACAGAGUAAGGUAGUUAAGAGUUAACGUUGACUCAGCUGCAGUCAGCCCUGUACAGAGUAAGGUAGUUAAGAGUUAACGUUGACUCAGCUGCAGUCAGCCCUGUACAGAGUAAGGUAGUUAAGAGUUAACGUUGACUCAGCUGCAGUCAGCCCUGUACAGAGUAAGGUAGUUAAGAGUUAACGUUGACUCAGCUGCAGUCAGCCCU